UACAGGGGGGGCAAGCGUUGUUCGGAAUUACUGGGCGUAAAGGGUUCGUAGGUGGCCAACUAAGUCAUACGUGAAAGCCCCCGGCUCAACUGGGGAGGGUCAUUCGAUACUGAUCGACUCGAAGGCAGGAGAGGGAAGCGGAAUUCCCGGUGUAGUGGUGAAAUGCGUAGAUAUCGGGAGGAACACCAGUGGCGAAGGCGGCUUCCUGGCCUGUUCUUGACGCUGAGGCGCGAAAGCUAGGGGAGCAAACAGG
rnacentral:rRNA from 1 species